GUCCAUCAUUUGGCCGUUAGGUUUGGCUGCCCUGACUGACAUGCACCUCCUGAACAAGCCCGAGCUUUCUGCCUUCCGGCGCAGCACUUUGCUGCUUCCAAGGCAGCAUCUGGAAACCCAUGUAAAGGGCAGAGCCGCUAAUGGCUCUCACUCUGUUCCCCAGUGAGCAGUGCAGUCUCCAUCCCACUGCCCUGGAACUGCCCACUGAGAAGACCCUGAGUUUGCACAUGCUUGCACGUGCAUGCACACACCCCUCAAAGAAAGAAACCUCUUCUAGUGUUAGUAUCUUCUCACCUGGAGCAGGAUACACAGGUACAGAGGUACGAAGUCAGACAAUCAAGUGGCAGCUGAACACGGUUAAUGGAGACUUGAAAUUCUUCCGAGCCCUUCCGCUCAGGAGGCAGCUCCAGGCUGGGCAUGGUGGAGAGGGGCCACCGUGAUGAGCAAACAGCCCUGGAGAAGUGAGAGAGGCUGCACCCCGCCUGCCUGCUGAGAACACCCAUGCAGACGUUGGCCAGUGCCUGGGGGCUGGGCUCUCUCACAUGCCUCACACAUGCGAUCGGCCGGUUUUCCUUACAGAUCCAAGAAGCAGCUACUGAGGACUACACAUGUUGCAGGCCAUAGAUGCCCUACGCUGGACCCUUCCACGUACAGAUUUGGAUCCAUGGGCCCCCAAGCCGGUCACAGUGUUCACCAGAUUUUGCAGAUGGGAAAAGGCGGAGCUGCAGGA